UGACUUCUUUGUGGGCAGGCAC
rnacentral:miRNA from 1 species